AUUGAACGCUGGCGGCAUGCCUUACACAUGCAAGUCGAACGGCAGCACGGACUUCGGUCUGGUGGCGAGUGGCGAACGGGUGAGUAAUGUAUCGGAACGUACCUUUCAGUGGGGGAUAACGUAGCGAAAGUUACGCUAAUACCGCAUAUUCUGUGAGCAGGAAAGCAGGGGAUCGCAAGACCUUGCGCUGAUUGAGCGGCCGAUAUCAGAUUAGCUAGUUGGUGGGGUAACGGCCUACCAAGGCUACGAUCUGUAGCGGGUCUGAGAGGAUGAUCCGCCACACUGGGACUGAGACACGGCCCAGACUCCUACGGGAGGCAGCAGUGGGGAAUUUUGGACAAUGGGGGCAACCCUGAUCCAGCCAUGCCGCGUGAGUGAAGAAGGCCUUCGGGUUGUAAAGCUCUUUCGGCCGGGAAGAAAUCGCAUCAGCUAAUACCUGGUGUGGAUGACGGUACCGGAAUAAGAAGCACCGGCUAACUACGUGCCAGCAGCCGCAGUAA
rnacentral:rRNA from 1 species